rnacentral:rRNA from 1 species
GCGGAGGAAAAGAAAAUAACAAUGAUUCCCCUAGUAACGGCGAGUGAACAGGGAAAAGCUCAAAGUUGGAACCUCCUGGUCCUAGAUCAGGCGGAUUGUAAACUAAAGCUGUUGGGUAGUACGGUUGGCCUGAUAAAAAAGUUCUCUGGAAAGAGGCGACAUAGAGGGUGAUAUCCCCGUCUUUGGUCAGAGCUCAAUCAUGCGUUUGCCCUUUAGCGAAGAGUCAGGUUGUUUGGGAAUGCAGCCUAAAAUGGGAGGUAAAUCUCUCCUAAAGCUAAAUAUUGACGAAAGACCGAUAGCGAACAAGUACCGUGAGGGAAAGAUGAAAAGCACUUUGAAAAGAGGGUCAAAAAGUACGUGAAAUUGCUGAAAGGGAACCGUAUGAAAUCAGUCUGAUGUGUUGGUAAUCAAUCUGGAUCUCGAUCUGGAUGCACUUGCCGAUGUAUUAGCCUGCGACAGUUUGAUCUGGAGGAAAAAAGAUGGGAGAAUGUGGCCUUGGCUUCGGUCAAGGUGUUAUAGCUCCUGUCAAAAUACUUUGGAUUGGACUGAGGACUGCAGCGAGCCGCAAGGUAAAGGUCUCGGGCGCUUGCUCUGGUUAUGUAAGAAAUCUCUGCUUCGGGUGGUAUCUUGCCUAAUCGGGACAACACGCUUGUUUCUCUUUUUUCUCGCUUAGGUCGUAGGCAUAAUGAUUUUAUAUGAC